rnacentral:rRNA from 1 species
GAUGAACGCUGGCGGCAUGCCUUACACAUGCAAGUCGAACGGCAGCACGGGAGCAAUCCUGGUGGCGAGUGGCGAACGGGUGAAUAAUGUAUCGGAACGUACCUUUCAGUGGGGGAUAACGUAGCGAAAGUUACGCUAAUACCGCAUAUUCUGUGAGCAGGAAAGCAGGGGAUCGCAAGACCUUGCGCUGAUUGAGCGGCCGAUAUCAGAUUAGCUAGUUGGUGAGGUAAAGGCUCACCAAGGCGACGAUCUGUAGCGGGUCUGAGAGGAUGAUCCGCCACACUGGAACUGAGACACGGCCCAGACUCCUACGGGAGGCAGCAGUGGGGAAUUUUGGACAAUGGGGGCAACCCUGAUCCAGCCAUGCCGCGUGAGUGAAGAAGGCCUCGGUGUAAGCUACUUCUAGCCGGAGAAACGACGACUACUCUAAC